ensembl:lncRNA
CUCAGUCCCACAAGACUGCACCCCUCCCUAUCCCCCCCUUCAGACACCAAUCUGAGGUUGUUACCUGUGCUUCUGACCAACCGGCUAUGGAUCGGAGAUUCCCAUGACCCUCUCCCGGGGUUCAAUUCAUUUGCUAGAGCAGCUCACAGACCUCAGAGGAACAUUUACUUGCAUUUACCCCUUUAUUAUAAAGGAUAUUGUGAAGGAUGCAAAUGAAUAGCCAGAUGAAGAGGUAGAUAGAGGUGAGGUCCAGAAGUGUCCUGAACGCCGGAGCUUCUGUUUCCGUGGAACUGGGGUGCACCACCCUUCAGGCAUGUGGAUGCUUCACCAACCUGGAAACUCAUGAAAUCUUGUUCGAGAGUUUUCACAGGGCCAGCCCAGGGGCCCAGCAGUUAAGUUUGCACAUUCUGCUUUGGCAGCCCGGGGUUUGCCGGUUCAGAUUCCAGGUGUGGACCUAUGCACUGCUUGUCAAGCCAUGCUGUGGCAGGGAUCCCACAUGGCAAGAUGGGCAUGGAUGUUAGCUCAAGGCCAGUCUUCCUCAGCAAAAAGAGGAGGAUUGGCGGCAGAUGUUAGCUCAGGGCUAAUCUUACUCAAAAAAAAAAAAAAAAAAGUUUUUAUAGAGCUUAAUCUGGAGCACCCCCACAUCCCCUUCUCAGAGGUGGGUGGUGCUGAAAGUUCCAACCCUCCAGUCAUUUUUGCUUUCUGGGGACCAGCCUUAUUCUGAGGCUAUCUGAGGGUACUUGAAGUCACCUCAUUCCUGUAAGAUCAAAAGGGGCUCUUGUAACGGACAAAUGACACUGUGGUCACUGGAGAAUCCCAAGGGUUUGAGGAGCUUUGUACUAGGAACUGGGAACAAAGACCAAAUAUAUUUCUUAUUAUACCACACUCACUUAACAUUAGCAAAUCCGUCAAGUGCAUGUCAGCAAUGGGUUGGCUAAAAUUUGGUUUAGCAGAGAUAAAUGUAAGAUUUCAGUCGUUAUACUCUUUCAGGAAGGAGUCAGUCUUACCCAGUGACCAAUUCCAAGCUCCAACCUGACUCUUAGGCAACAAUGAGGAACACUUCAUUUGAGCCUAUAGAUAUUUGAAAACUUUGAUGUUCAAGGUCCGUAAAAUAUUGGAAGUGGUUUUCACUCUGAGACUUCCCUUGUGAAAAUAGUGCUUUGUAAUGUUCAUGAUUCCCUGCUCUCUGUUUCCUCUCUCUGUGAUCUUAUCGUUAUUCAAAACCUGGACCACUAUGUGUAGUCCUGUCCCUAAACUCCCACAAAGAUUUAAAGGUGUUGGAGUAGAUCUAGAGAAAGGCAGCCAGACUGUUCCUCAUCUUUGUUUGCUUGUACCUGGCAUAGUGCCUGGCACUUGAGUUCCAUAAAUGUUUAUUCAAAUGAGUUAAAUUAAAAUAAAUUCAAGUGAUAGAUCCCAAAGUUAUAUAGUACAGUUAUUGAAAUUUGCUCUCAAGGGGCCGGCCUGGUGACACAGCAGUUAAGUGUGCACAUUCCACUUCUCAGCGGCCUGGGGUUCACCAGUUCGGAUCCCGGGUGCAGACAUGGCACCGCUUGGCACGCCAUGCUGUGGUAGGCGUCCCACAUAUAAAAUAGAGGAAGAUGGGCAUGGAUGUUAGCUCAGGGCCAGGCUUCCUCAGCAAAAAAGAGGAGGACUGGCAGUGGUUACCUCAGGGCUAAUCUUCCUCAAAAAAAAAAAUUAAAUUAAAAAAAAAUUUGCUUUCCAGAAGUGGCAUAAAGGGAAAAUAAAAAUAUUUUAAACACAUUUAGAAAUAUUAGUGGGGUGACUACAGUAGGAGUCUCUGAUCUUCUGAAAGUAUAUAUGUAACCCAUGAGUUGAUGUCUGGGAGAGCACUGUUCUCUCCCACAUUUUAUACUACUGGAGGACCAUAGCCCUGACCAAAUGGGACUAUUUUUAAGUUAUACUCUUAAAUUAAAAAAAAAGGUAACAUCAAUUCUUUAAGUACAUGUACUUAAAGUACAUUGUUAAUGUAAUUAUUCUGUUAUGUAUAAAACUAUGAUACAGUGUUAUUUGUGAAAUGGCCUUUCUUCACUUACUACUGUGGAAACAAACUAAUAAAUGCUUCUUUUAAAAGAAUGAAUCUCCUUUCAAAAAAAGGAAUCAACUUUGGAAGAUUGGCCCUGGGCUAACAUCUGUGCCCAUGCUCCUGUAUUUUGUAUGUGGGUCACUGCCAUAGCAUGGCUUGAUGAAUGGUGUAGGUCCACGCCUGGGAUCUGAACCCGCGAACCAGGGCUGCCAAAGUGAAGCACGCUGAACAUAACCACUACACCACCAGGCCAACCCCCAGAAUCAAUUUUUAAUUAAAAGGAAACUAUGGAGCAAAUCACUUGAAACUUAAAAUACUUUAUAUAUUCAAACAAUGAAUAAACUUUGUGCUAAUUCUUUAUCUGUGCUAAUAUGCAGUGGUUCUCAAGCCAGGGCAUUGCUACCUUCUAAUCCACAUUUGGAAAUAUAUUUGGGAACAUUUUUGAUUGUCACAAUGACUGGGGCAUGCCACUUAUAUUUUAUGGGUGGGGCCCAUAAAUUAUAAACACUGUAGUAUAUUAUUAUAAACAGUAUAGUAUAUUAUAUACUAUACAUUAUAGUAUAUAGUAGAGACAGAAAUUAUAGUAUAAUAUACUAUAUUGUGCUAUAUAUUAUAUAAAAUGGAGGACAGUGUAUUGUAGUAGAGUAUAAAGAAAGAAUUGUUCCAUUCAAAAUGCCAGGAGCUAAGCAAAGAAUGUUUGUUAAUUAAAUUAAGCUAAAGUUGCAAAUAAGACUAAACUGUACUUUCUUUAUUAAAAGUGACAUAUUUCUUUGAAAACCGUGUAGUGUGUUAAAUUAAAUGGGGAGGCCAUUCGACUGAGGUGGCUGUACAGCCACUUACAUAGCAGGUAGGUGCCACCUCACGCAGCAGCCUACAUAAGCAAACCAGAAUCUAAGCCUGUAAGUGCCUCAAGGUUAUGAAAUCGAAACCUAAGGACAACCAAUCACAGCCAGCUAGUCUUUAAACUAUAGCCAAUCGAUGCUUUCGUUGCUUUGCUUUUGCCUUUUCUCCGUGAAGGUCACUCCCUGAGCUCCUGUUGGCGGAGCACUCCUUACCCCUUCAGGUUUGGUGCUGCCCGAUUCAAAUCGAUUUUUGCUCAAAUAAACUCUUAAAACUUUUAAUGUGUCUCAGUUCAUCUUGAAACAAGUGUAAAGGGAUAAUAUUACUUGUUUUAUUCACCUGAAACGUAGAACCGUUAUGUCUGUAUAGAUGUCAAGAUUUGUAAUAAUUGUGGAAUGUUAAAGCGUGCCUCAGUGAUGGUUGUUAAUUGUAUGAUUGUUGUUAGUCAAUUAUUAACAUACUCCCCUGUGGGUACUACUAUCAUAAUUUCAGUUGCCCUGCACUGUGCUGUUGUCUGUUUGGCUCUCCCUCUCUAGGUCAGUCACCUCGAAGGAGGAACUUCCAAUUCGUCUUCCAAUUAUCAGCGCUAAGCAUACUACCCGAAAAAGAGUACCAAUAAAUGUGGAUAUGCAAGCACUGCAUCUAACUCUGUAGUCUUGAAUUUUGG